rnacentral:lncRNA from 1 species
AAUUAGCAAAAAUGAUUUUUUUCCCUAUAGGCAUUUAUAAAAUCCAAUUUAAAAAUAAUAUGUUGUCUUUCAAUUUCUACAAAUGUUCAAAAUGUAUUAAGAUCGAUCGUAAUGACUUGUCCUUCUUUGCUAUACGGACAAACAAUGCACUGAUCGUAAGUAAAAGAAUAUUUUCUUUUACUUACUAUCAGUGCCGUCUUAACGCAUGGGCCCGAUCGGCACUUACCCGGGGGCCCCACGAGUAUAGGGGCCUCAUGCUAAUCUGUGUAUGUCAAGUGAUUGUUGUGCGACCCCCAGUACACUGGUUUGCCUAGGGGCCCAUAAUGCUGUUAAGACGGCCCUAUGCUUACGAUACCAGAUCAAGAUUUAUUUCUUUGAUUCAUACAUUAUUGAGUUCCCAAAAAAAAAUUAUUUUCGACAUUUAUUAGCUUUUGCUAGUUAUACUAAAUUGCCAAAAGCCAAAUUAAUCUCUUACAUGGUUGAAAAUCCAAUAUUAAAUGACCUAAAUGUUUCCAAAGAUGGUGAACACAGAUAAAGUAAGAUGUUAAAAUAUUUCAAGUCCC